GAUCCUGGCUCAGGACGAACGCUGGCGGCGUGCUUAACACAUGCAAGUCGAACGGAGCACCCUUGACUGAGGUUUUCGGGCCCAAAUGAUAGGAAUGCUUAGUGGCGGACUGGUGAGUAACGCGUGAGGAACCUGCCUUCCAGAGGGGGACAACAGUUGGAAACGACUGCUAAUACCGCAUGACGCAUGACCGGGGGCACUCCCCGGGGCAUGUCAAAGAUUUUAUCGCUGGAAGAUGGCCUCGCG
rnacentral:rRNA from 1 species